rnacentral:rRNA from 1 species
ACGCUAGCUACAGGCUUAACACAUGCAAGUCGAGGGGCAGCAUUUCAGUUUGCUUGCAAACUGGAGAUGGCGACCGGCGCACGGGUGAGUAACACGUAUCCAACCUGCCGAUAACUCGGGGAUAGCCUUUCGAAAGAAAGAUUAAUACCCGAUGGUAUAAUCAGACCGCAUGGUCUUGUUAUUAAAGAAUUUCGGUUAUCGAUGGGGAUGCGUUCCAUUAGGCAGUUGGUGAGGUAACGGCUCACCAAACCUUCGAUGGAUAGGGGUUCUGAGAGGAAGGUCCCCCACAUUGGAACUGAGACACGGUCCAAACUCCUACGGGAGGCAGCAGUGAGGAAUAUUGGUCAAUGGGCGCAGGCCUGAACCAGCCAAGUAGCGUGAAGGAUGACUGCCCUAUGGGUUGUAAACUUCUUUUAUAUGGGAAUAAAGUUUUCCACGUGUGGAAUUUUGUAUGUACCAUAUGAAUAAGGAUCGGCUAACUCCGUGCCAGCAGCCGCGGUAAUACGGAGGAUCCGAGCGUUAUCCGGAUUUAUUGGGUUUAAAGGGAGCGUAGGUGGACAGUUAAGUCAGUUGUGAAAGUUUGCGGCUCAACCGUAAAAUUGCAGUUGAUACUGGCUGUCUUGAGUACAGUAGAGGUGGGCGGAAUUCGUGGUGUAGCGGUGAAAUGCUUAGAUAUCACGAAGAACUCCGAUUGCGAAGGCAGCUCACUGGACUGCAACUGACACUGAUGCUCGAAAGUGUGGGUAUCAAACAGGAUUAGAUACCCUGGUAGUCCACACAGUAAACGAUGAAUACUCGCUGUUUGCGAUAUACAGUAAGCGGCCAAGCGAAAGCAUUAAGUAUUCCACCUGGGGAGUACGCCGGCAACGGUGAAACUCAAAGGAAUUGACGGGGGCCCGCACAAGCGGAGGAACAUGUGGUUUAAUUCGAUGAUACGCGAGGAACCUUACCCGGGCUUAAAUUGCAUUUGAAUAUAUUGGAAACAGUAUAGCCGUAAGGCAAAUGUGAAGGUGCUGCAUGGUUGUCGUCAGCUCGUGCCGUGAGGUGUCGGCUUAAGUGCCAUAACGAGCGCAACCCUUAUCUUUAGUUACUAACAGGUCAUGCUGAGGACUCUAGAGAGACUGCCGUCGUAAGAUGUGAGGAAGGUGGGGAUGACGUCAAAUCAGCACGGCCCUUACGUCCGGGGCUACACACGUGUUACAAUGGGGGGUACAGAAGGCAGCUACCUGGUGACAGGAUGCUAAUCCCAAAAGCCUCUCUCAGUUCGGAUCGAAGUCUGCAACCCGACUUCGUGAAGCUGGAUUCGCUAGUAAUCGCGCAUCAGCCAUGGCGCGGCGAAUACGUUCCCGGGCCUUGUACACACCGCCCGUCAAGCCAUGAAAGCCGGGGGUACAUGAAGUACGUAACCGCAAGGAGCGUCCUAGGGUA